rnacentral:rRNA from 1 species
UACGGAGGGUGCGAGCGUUAAUCGGAAUUACUGGGCGUAAAGCGCGCGUAGGCGGUUUGUUAAGUCAGCUGUGAAAGCCCCGGGCUCAACCUGGGAACUGCAGUUGAUACUGGCCGACUGGAGUACGAGAGAGGGAGGUAGAAUUCCAUGUGUAGCGGUGAAAUGCGUAGAUAUCCGGAGGAACACCGGUGGCGAAGGCGGCAUCCUGGACCGACAUUGACGCUGAGGAGCGAAAGCUAGGGGAGCAAACGGG